GUAUUCUCCAUCUCAAUUUAUGUUUUGGUUGUUCACUUUCAAAGCAAGGUUAUAUUGUGAGCUAAAUACAUAAAAUCCAACAUUUCUUAAAUUUGUAUUAGAGUCAGGUUUUCUGAAUGUAAUGCUUUCCAGUCCUUGGAUCUCAGAGGUCAAAGAAAUACCAUUCUUCUCUGCUAAAGACCUCAGAUAUAUGAUAGCAGGUUUUAAAAAAAAUUUUUAAGAGUUACAUUUCCUCUUUCAGUCAUUUUUUUAAAAAGGAAAAAAGAUCUAGAUCCUUUGAUAGAUAACUAACUCCCUAUUCAAUCCAAAUUUGGAAAGGUGGCCCAUAGAAAUCAGUGACAGAUGGUGAUGAUUUCUU
rnacentral:lncRNA from 1 species